rnacentral:lncRNA from 1 species
GUUUAGAGGUUAUGUUUGUUGGAUCUUGUAGUCUUGUAUUUCCUCUACAAGAUCCAAUUUAUAGAUUGUCCAAAUUCGUUAAUAUGAGAGAGUUAUUCACGGUCAAAGUAGCCCACUCGGUUCUGCCUUAUGAAGAUCUAGGUAGGCUCAAGAACACCUAUAGCGACGGUUCUGUCACUAUAGGGGCCUUUAGCGACAGUUUUAAUUAUUUUUAAAUUUCUGAUUUUCCGGAAAUUAAUUUAAAAAUUAGAAAAAUUAGUUUUUAAUUAUUAAAA